rnacentral:lncRNA from 1 species
UGAAUCUCUCUGGCCCCUGGACUGUGCCCUGAAACACAGCUUAAAACAGCAGAAUGAACAGUAAUCCCAGAGAUCCUGAGAUGAGAAAAGGGUGUUUGACUUAUUCAAAGAAGACCAAGGAAGCCCAAAGACCAGAGAAGAGUGCAGGAAAGGGGCGGCGGUCUGAGAUGCAGUCAGAGCAGUGGCAAGCCCCCAGAGUCUGUGGCAAAGACUUCAGGUUUCAUCCUGAAGAGGAAGACAGGUCUUUGGAGAGUUUUGAUCAAGGAAGUGAGAUGAAAUAUCUUAGGCUUACAAAGAACUACUCUGACAUCUAAAUGGAAAAUGGACUGAUGAAGCAAAAGAAGCCACAAGGAAGCCAGUUCAGAGGCUAUUGAAAUGCUCCAGAUACUCAGAGAGUGAGAGCCUUCAGAUUUGGGCCGCUGUGGUUCGUCUUCUGCCUGGGAACUGGAUAAAAACAUCAGUGAAUACCCCAAAGAUUUUCAAAAAUGCUUGUUGAUAAAAUGAAGUCAGAAUGUGAGAUGAGCCCUUCCACCUGAGUGAUGUUGGUCUUGGCUGUGUGAUUUGCUUUGGCUGAUGAUAAGUUGAUGGAAGUGAUAGUAAGACAAUGCUGAGCCUCAUCCUCGGAAGUAUCUCUGCCUUCACCUGGCUUUGUGCACCACUGCCCUGGCUUUGAGAAGAACAUGAGCCCAGUAAAUUGUUAGUCCAGGAAGAAUGAGAGAGAAAGUCCUGAGGCAGAGAAGUGGAGAGAAGUUGCUGCUUGAGCUUGAGAAAGAAUGGUGGCAGAGUACAUGCAUGGAAGUGCUACCAUAGCUGCUCUGAAAUCAGAGGAAAGUGGAAUUAUAAGAAGACCCCAUCUGACAAGGCUCAUAAAGGAGAGCAACUCUUAUGGAAUACAUCCAAGAUAUAUACGUCUUUGAAGAAAGACAUCACUCAACUGUGAAAGAUCACCAUGACCCCUGCUUUAAUUUCAUCAAAAAACUUAGUCCAUCAGCUCAGUUACCCUUUAGCCUUGCAUGGGAAUUGACUCAGAGCUUCUGCAAGAUCAGGGUGAAUAUGAAUUGUUU